rnacentral:misc_RNA from 1 species
GUGAAUCAUCAAAUUUUUGAACGCAAAUUGCACUCCCUUCGGAGAGUAUGCCUGUUUGAGGGUCAGCCUCAAAAAACUCGACAUAUUUUAUGUUACGCGGUAACAUUCGUCGUAAAUUGGGUCACCUUAAACCUUUGUGUUUAAGUGGCUUAAAAUUUUCCUUACGAUUCCAAGAAUGUUUCUAAGAUUUUAUUUUCUUAUACGUUCAAGUUAUCGAUCUUUAUUAGUCGUCGCCGUUGCAUCGGAUUUUGUCCA